GAGGGGAGGAGUGUGGAGAUGGAGGCGGGGGCGGGGACUCAGCCCGGGGCGCCGAGUUGGAGACUGAGGUGACCGAGGCCGGGCUGUGGAAGGCGGGCUUGGGGAUCCAGCGGGCGGGGCGAGGUCGCUCCGUGCCGCCCACGCCGGAUGCACAGCCGGCCUUCUCCGCGCCCACGUACCCACGUGAGCGCCCAGCCGGCGACAUUCUUACUCCCACUCCCCCUUCCCCUCCGAGAGGAGAGCGGAGUUUCACAACCACGCACAGGUACACAAAGACACCGAGCAGCGCAAAGGACGGGCACACGCGUCUAAACAGCUCUGCGGACGCCUGCUGCCCACACUCGAACCUCGCGGUGCUGUACUUGUGAACGUUAGGAGUGAGCCGGGAAAAGUUGUUGGAGACUCGGGGUGCGCGUCUCCUUUCGUGCGUCUGACUCCCAUAGAGAGUGCGCUUAAGGCAGGUCUGUGAGCGUGGGGCUCCGCAGGAGUCUUUUCCAUCUCCAAACGCUCUUUCCCAGCCCCUAAAGGAGCUGUUUGAAGAGGCAGUUCUCGGAAACCCAGGCGCCCUUCCAUCCCGGCCUGGAGUCCACGUCCAAGUUUGGGAAACAGGAAUGGGCGGGGCUUGUUAGAAGCUACCACUUAGACGCGCGUCGAUUACAGUCGCGACGGGUUUUGUUAGCGCUUAGGUCAGGCAGGCAUGGGAGGGGUACCCCGCCUUCCUCUACUCUUCGCACCCUAUUUGUUGAGGAUGGGGACCUGUUCCUGGGAAACUGUUGUGGUAGCCCUGGCAGAGGGAGGAUACCCUUUCUAGGGACGUCUGUUAGGGCACUUGGUCCGCAAGAGUCCAGAGUUAGAUGGGCACCACGCCGAGUAUGUCCAACGUGGCUCCCUACCGAGGAAUAAGAGGGAGGAGCUCCUUCGAGGAGCCUACCCCUCUCCGAAACCCACUCCCUACCCCCUUUGUUUCUCCCAGCUCCAUCUGGUUCCCAUUACACUCCCGCCCACGGCUGGGAGGGCGGACAGGCGGGGGCUCUGAGCGCCCGGCCCUGCGGCUCUAUGCCCCGAGGAAAUGCAGGAGGGUGGGGGGAGGCGGCGGGAAGCGAGCUGGCUGGCCAGAAGCAAGGUUCCCCCUAGUCCAAAACCUCGGCCCCGCCCACCCUUCUGCACUUCUGAGUGGCCCGGGGCGGCCUGGAGUGGGUGGCGUGGGCCAGGGCUGGUUCUACAUUCCGGCCUGGCGAGGGGACCUUUCGGCCGUUAGUGGAGGGCCGGAGAGGAGGGGUGGGGGUGCAUCGCAUCACCGGGGGGAAUUUCGGUAGCCAAGAUUCUCUUCUCCAUUCCAUAAAGCUACAAACACGGGGGUAGGGCGUGAUAGGAACGAGCUGAGUCCUCCGUCCGGCAACUGGAGGGCGCGGCGACACGAGGUACCUCCGGGGUCAUCCCCGACCCCCCUUAGGUUUGUGAGCCCCUCUGCGUGGAUUUAAAAAUAUGUACAUUUUAAAAACCAUUGACUUGUCAAGCCCCGCCAGAGGCCCAGACUCCCCCGCAGCCGGAGCUGCUGAGAUGUCUGUUCUUCGCUUCCCUCCCACUCCUACCACCUCCAACUCCCCUCCUCCUCCCUUCCGUUGAGAACAAGGAAUUUCCAGCCCUUAGCAAAUGGAGAGAGAAAGAGACCAAGAUUAAGAGAAACUACGGAAAAACAACAAAGACAAGAGACAGAGUGGUAACAAACUUUGGACAAGAUGGUUGGAUGGCAUCACCGACUCAAUGGUCAUGAAUUUGAACAAGCUCCAGGACAUGCUGAAGGACAGGGAAGCCUGGCGUGCUGCAGUUCAUGGGGGUCACAAAGAGUUGGAUAUGACUGAGCGACUGAACAACAAAAAUAACAACAAACUUUGAGUGGCACUGUUGUAGUUAAAAUUUGUUUCUUUUAUUUAAGUGAUAAGCAUAUGAGGUGCUCUGUGAGCACAGAGGAUGGCCUUGUUUGUGUUUUUAUUUAUUUGGCUGUGUUGGGUCUUGGUUGCAGCACUCGGGAUCUUCAUUGCAUCAUAGGGGAUCUUUCAUUCUGGGGCAUGAACUCUCUAGUUGUGGCUUAUGGGCUAAGCUGCUCUGUGGCAUGUAGGAUCUUAGUUCCUCAACCAGGCAUCAAACCUGCAUCCCCGGUAUUGCAAGGUGGAUUCUUAACCACUAGACCACCAGGAAAGUCCCAAAAUUUGUUUCUAUACAUCUGUAUUUAGGUGAUAUUAGGACUACGGGCCAUAAAGUAUCACAGGAGAUGCCAUGGAACCAUAAAGACUGUAACAUGGGAGUGACAUGGUCAGAUCUGUAUUUAGGAGUGGUAUGGAGAAAAGGUUUUAUGGAAGUUAAAAGUGCAGAGAGGCCAACUUGAAGGAAACAAAAGUGCUCUGAGAGAGAUGGCAAGGUGCUAGACUAAAUCACUGACGCUGGAGAUGGAGAGGAAAGGACAGAUUUAAAAGAUAGUCAUCAGGGCUUCCCUAGUGGCUCAGAGGUAGAGAAUCCACCUGCCAAUGCAGGAACCAUGGGUUCUAUCACUGAUCCACGUGCUGCAGGGCAACUAACCUUGUGCUGCAACUAUUGAGCCUGUGUUGAAGAGCCCAGGAGCCACAACUACUGAAGCCCCCGUGCCUAGAGGCCGUGCUUUACAAGAGAAGCCACUGCAAGAAGCCUACACACAGCAACUAGAGCGUAUCUCCUGUUCACUGCAACUGGAGAAAAGUCCAUACAGCAGUGAAGACCCAGCAUAGUGAAAAGUCAAAAAUAAAUAGGUAAUUAUUUUUCAAAAAAAAAACUAAAAAAAGAUCAUCGGGUAAUAUGAAUAGAACUUGAUGACUGGCUAAAGGGUUGGGGGAAGAGAAGAGUUUAGAGUAACUCUCAGGCUUCUAGCUUGGGUGACUGGAUAGAAUGGAGCAUCAUCAUCAGAUAGUCACCAUCUGCAGUCUUUUACCUAAGUUAAGAAAGUUAUGAAAAAAAGUUAUGAAAACCAAAAAUUUUCAUAUCUCUUUUGACUACGAAACCUAAUCUGACUUGAACUUACUUUGUGGCGGACCUCCUAGCUUAUCAAGGCUGUAUAUUGUCAUCUUGCUUAUUUAAUUUACAUGUGGAGUACAUCAUGUGAAAUGCUGGACUGAAUGAGGCACAAGCUGGAAUCAAGAUUACAGGGAGAAAUAUCAAUAACCUCAGAUAAGCAGAUGAUACCACCCUUAUGGCAGAAAUCAAAGAGGAACUAAGGAGCCUCUUGAAAGUGAAAGAGGAGAGUGAAAUAGCUUAUUAAUACAUAAGGUUAUUUAUAGUUUCAUUUAUGCCACUUUCAUUUAUACCAAUGUGAAUAUUCAUCUCUCAUUGCAGAAACAUUCGUUUAUGAGGUACUGUCCCAGACCCCACUGAGAUUGCUGUCUUAUUUAUUGCAUAUGCACCAUAUUACAUUUUAAAAUCCAAAAAAAUUCUGAAACACAUUUAUGAUCCAGAUUUCCUGCCCCAUUUACUCAUCAGCGUUGGCCUGAGUUUUUUUGGCUAUUUGCAUAAAUCAGAUCCACCUGCAGAUAAUGAAUAUUCAUUGAAGUGUGUGCUAUAGACUCUGAAGAUGAUUCUCAAAGUGUUUUGAGCAGUGUUCAUAUUAUUAAAACAAGGCUAAAAGCUUCUUGAGUACCUGGAAGUGACGGAACUCAUUUAGAUGAUAAGGUUUCAUGUGUUUAUGGACAACCAGUUUUAUUACUGUACACUGCAUUUACAUAUUUUAACAGUCAGUGGUGGGAAUUCUCUGGAGGUCCAGUGGUUAGCACUCAUUGCUUUUACUGCCAGAUCUGGGUUCAAUCCCUGGUGGGCGAUUGAAAAAAAAAAAAAGUAAAUGAUCCUCUGGAAUUAGUUGCCCUGUUCUCUGGCCUUUGUUCAAAACCAAAGAGCAAGUUCUGAAUGCUGAGAAUUUGGGACCUGGUAGAAAAUGAAGUGUGUUUGUGUGUUGAGGGGUGUAGGUGUAUAAAUUAUUUUUUAAAAGUUUUAGACUUACAGAAAAAUUGAGAAGAUAGUACAGAGUUGUCCUGUACUCCCCAUCCAGUUUCUACUGUUAUGAUCUUAACAUUAGUACUGUGUGUUUACCACCAUUAAUGAACCAGCAUUGAUAACACUAACUAAAGCCUAUCAUUCACUCAGAUUUCCUUAGUUUUUACCUAAUUUUUUUCUAUUUUAGGAUCCCAUCCAUGAUACCAUAUUACAUUUGGUUUCCAUAUUUUAUUAGGCUCCUCUUGGCUGUUAGUUUCUCAGAGUUGCCCUGUUUGUGAUGACUAUGAGGAGUAUUGAUCAGGUAUUUUGUAGGUUGCCUCUUUGUUUCUCUGUACCACACAUGGCUUGUGGGAUCUUAUGGGUUCCCCCACCAGGGACUGAACCUACACCUUUGGCAGUGGAAGUGGAGAGUCAUAACCACUGGACCACAAGAGAAGUCCCUAGUUUACCUCUUUAUCUGAAUUUUUAAAGUGGCUUCCCUGGUGGCUCAGAUGGUAAAGAAUCUGCCUGCAAUGCAGGAGACCCAGGUUCCAUCUCUGGGUCUGGAAAAUCCCCUGGAGAAGGAAAUGGCAACCCACUCCAGUAUUCUUGCCUGGAGAAUUCCAUGGACAGAGGAGCCUGGCAGGCUACAGUCCAUGGCGUGGCAAAGAGUCCGACCCAACUGAGAGACCUAUUAAUAAAUGUUUAUCUUAGUUUUAUGAGUUUUGAGGAGGAAAACCACAGAAAUACCAUUUUCUCCACACACUAUCAAGGGUACAUAGUAGCAACGAGAUGUAUUACUGUGGAUACUGACCUCUUUAGGUCAGCCAGGGGAGUGUGUGGUGGAAGUGUUUGAGAGGAUGACUGUUGCACCAGAGGUGGCCUUGAGUUUUCUUUCUGAGAAUGAAAUUUCUUCUCUUGCCAGUUUCUUGGCUUCAUUUUCACUUUUUUAAAAUCCCUGUUUUGAAAGCUUGAACCUUCCCCAGCAGUUACCUCCUUCUCUGAAUUUUAAAAAAAAUUUUAUUAUUAAAUUUUUUAUUCUUCUGCAAGGCUGUUGCUUCACUGUAUAAAAAUAGCACCAGCAAAUGCAGUAUAUUGCAAAAUUAAGAUAGUAAUAUUCUUCAUUGGAUACUAUACAACUAACAAACUUUUCUCCACUGGCAGUUAUUUCUAGUGGUAAGAUAAUUUUGACCCAAAUCCAAGGAUAGCUGUAAGCAAGUUACAAUGUCAUAUAAGGUUUAAGAUAACCAUGUUAUCC
ensembl:lncRNA